UUGUCAAAAUUAUUAAGAUUCAAGAUUCAAGAGUUUUAUUGUCAUAUGCAUAGUAAAACAGGCAGUUAUACCAUGCAAUGAAAUUCUUAUUCUGUUCAUUCUCCCAAGAAAAGAAAGAAAACAACAAGCAACAACAACAGAAGAAUUGCAUUCAUGUAAUAAGUCAUUCCGUGUGUAGUGAAUCUGUAGAAUAUAAGAGGUUUCAGAGUUUUAGCAUCAAGAGUUUCACAUUUUUUGAGCCGUUUUACAAACAAGAAACACCAGAUCCCGGAACGCAGUCCAGCAGCAAUUAAAAGUGGAUGGACUCGUUUUGUCUUCAACCACCAGGGGCCUCACUGAUAAAAUUGUGUGUGGAAAUCUGACGAAAAGUCUGCAUAUGCCAGAAACCCAAAAUGUGCGUACAAAAAUAUUCAGACGUAAAAAUUUUUUUUCGCAACUUGUCCACCUUGAAGAGAAGUGUAUGUACGCAAAUCCGCCUCAAGUUACGCCCUUCCAUGCCUGUACUUCACCAUAGAAGGCCCAUGCAAAGUGACUCAUGAAUGCACACAGCAUAUUGAGGAGUGUUAAUUUUUUGGUGUUGAUGAGAAUCUUGAAGUUGGAGUGUGAAUUUUACACUAUUUGGAGUUGAUCUAACACUGCAUUUUCUUAAAAAUGUUAAAUUUAACACUGGAUCAUGAAAGUGUUGUAGUUAAAAUGGAGUGUUGAAAAUGUUCAAAUCUUGUUAGUGUCACAAUAAAGACAUUCAACACUUCCACACUCCAUUUAACACCUAACAGUGUUCACGUGUCUUAAGCUCCGCCCACGGACAUGUCAUUUAGACUCCACCCCUCACUUCACGUUGCUGAAAUGAAAAGCAAAUGGAAGAAGUUGACAAUUAGGAAUCAUUUUGCAUCAGUAGGUAAGUAAACGUUUAAAUGCUGUAGAUGAACUAAUGAAUUGUGUUGUACCUUGUUUACACAUAAAAAACGUUAGUUUUUGGUGUGAUAUUUAAGACUAAAAAACUGAGGCACCUGUUUCCACCCAAAGCCUUUGCUAAUGUUAGCUCGUGUUUUUGCUAAGUUAUAUUUUCUGUUUAGUGUUGCUGUGAGCUGAAUCGGCACUACCUGUGCAACAUUUGGCAAAGUAAGUGAACGCUACCUUAUAUCUUCAUUAUACUGUCUUCAUUUUGAAUGAGCUAAUGGCUAACUAGCUAAUUGGCACGAGGAGCCCCCACGUAGGCCUGCUGGCCCACAGCAAAGGACUUGAUAUGCUGUACAAGAUACAAGAUAUCAAGCAAACCUUUCCUUGAGUCUUACGUGAAUGUGAGGUGGAUGGAGAUGUGUAGACUCCACUAUCCCUUCACCCCAGUUAUUGCCAGUUGGUGCGAGCCUCCACUCUUGCCGACUACAUCCCAUUCAUUAGGUUUGACAAUUUAUCCUUCAACCCACAAGAGGAACCCAACAGAACCAAUGGAUCAGGAUGAAGCAUGACAGUCCGUGGUGUUUUGAGGGCCAAUCCGAAAGGUGAGGAAAUCUUCAAGGAGUGCACCAAGACUGAAACACUAACCGAUGCAACGUGUAAACAGAUGGUGAACAUCCUGGUUGCAGAUAUGAUGGAGCUGCAUGGGAGAGUUCCGCCAUCAUGUGUGAUGAGAAAUUACGCCCUGAGAAUUGUGACUUGUUUUCCAUACCUCAAAGAUCCAUUCUCCAAACCUGGAUAUGAUGCUUAGCUUAGCGGCAGUGGCUCAAGAGGUAGAGCAGGUCGUCCAGAAAUCGUAAGGCUGGUUCGAUCCUUGCGCCCAGUCACUGUUGUGUCCUACACGGCUCUCAAAGCCGUUCCAAGACUGUUUCUUCAUGAUGGUCCAAAAACCAGAGGAGAAUAUCUGUUAACUGGUCAACAGCUGUUUGGUGAGGAGUGCAAGGAGGCACUAUCUACAAUAAGACAUUCAACCGAUGAAUCCGUGGUUAAAGAAGAUGAGAGCAAUUUUCCAGUAUCGAUCCAAGCGGAAGAUGUAUCAUUGUCUGUCCUUGAUGUGUUCACUCGCUUCCUUGAUGUUCUAGGAUUGAUUGACCAGGAUUUCACAAUGACGUUUGCUGAUGAAGUAUCUCAGAGGUUCCUGGCUAAGUGGUCAACUGUCUUCAAAGCAAAAGUCAUUGCAGACUGCAAGACUCUCCCGCAAAAGCGGAACAUCGAUGAGUUGCUGUCAGGAACUGAACCUCAACCUGAUGACAGCUGUGGCUGGGGCAGUGAUACAUCCUCCAUCCUUCUACUCCUGCAUCUGCUCCCUCUGACCUCUAGAGGCCAGGAAAAAACAGCAAAGAUCAGUUUGUCAAGCAGCCAACCAUCUUCUCAGAUAUCUUAAGGAAGGAGCCAGUGUGACCCCCUUCCAAGACCUUUGACACAAGACAACCAUUUCUCCUCUGCAUCAGUGAGCGAAGGUGACAUCCAGAGGUUCUACAUUAUUAUUGACCAAAAGCCGGUUCCAUGCAAGGCACAUACAUUUAUUGCAGCUUUUGAUGAACUGUUCAAAGCUUACUAUGUCUUCAGUCUCCCGUAUGGUUAAAAGUGGAUAAGAGCAAACAUUUGGGUCUGAAUGCUGCCCAGUCAUGGUGUCUUCUAUGUAACACUCCACUUAUAUUUGGUGAUGGCAUUGAAAGGAAGAAUGAUCACUGGAACUUCCUCCUCCUUUUGAUGCAGAUUGUCAACAUACCUGUAGUGUUCUCCUCCUACACUAUAACUGAUGGAAUGAUCCUUUACUUGAAACAUCUGAAAAGUGACCACCACACUCGGUACAAAGCAUUGCUUCCUGGUAAGAAGUUGAUUCCCAAGCACCGCUUGAUGAUACACUAUCCAAGACGCAUACAAAAAAUUGGCCCUCUUUUCCAGACGUGGUGAAUGCGUUUUUGAAGCCAAACACAAUUUUUUCAAAAGGUGUGGUUAAAAUUUUUAAAAAUCUCAGCCGUUUGUCGUGGCCUUUCACUAUGAAAAUUAUUAUUUAAGAAGAUUUGAAUUUGGCCCUACAUCAAAAACAAUCUGCAACUUGAAAGGAGGGGAGGAGCGUGGUCAGGUAUGUCUGCAAGCAUCUUCCAAAUGUGUCAAGUACCAACUGGGUGAGAAGUUACGGUAUAGAGCACCAUGUUGGUGUGUUCAUAUGUACUGGAUGUACAUACAUGAUCUACCUGUGUUCAAGAAGAUCUGGGAUAUAAUAAAACACAAAGAAUGUGCUUUCAUAAUAGCUGUAAUGUAGAAACAAUGUACUAUGAUGACCUGUUUAACGCGUACUGCAUAGAAGACCAAAUGCUUGAGUUUUCUGUCAUGUGUUUAAAUGAACUGACUCAUUUCAGACC